AGCCUCCUAGAGCUUACCACAGGCUGUGUUUUUUUCACUGACUGUAUAGAAAGAGGUGGCAAAGCAAACCUACCCCAUACACUCCUCAGCCCAGGCCCUCUGGUCUGUAUUGUGAAUGGGAAGACAUGG
rnacentral:snoRNA from 1 species